rnacentral:rRNA from 1 species
UACGUAGGCAGCAAGCGUUGUUCGGAAUUACUGGGCGGAAAGCGUGUGUAGGCGGUGCUGUAAGUCUGGGGUGAAAUCUCCCGGCUCAACUGGGAGGGUGCGCCGGAAACUGCAGUGCUUGAGGGUGGGAGAGGUAAGCGGAAUUCCUGGUGUAGCGGUGAAAUGCGUAGAUAUCAGGAGGAACACCUGUGGUGUAGACAGCUUACUGGACCACUUCUGACGCUGAGACACGAAAGCGUGGGUAGCAAACAGG